UGCAGCUGGAUCAGAUCUGGC
rnacentral:misc_RNA from 1 species